UCAAAAACGUUGAAGUGGAAUAGUAAUAUAAUUUAGUUAUUUUAGAGAGAGAAUGUUAGGUGUGAAUUCUUAUAACUGGUUAUAUGAAUGGACCAUGGAGUAAUGCUAAUCACAUUCGUUUCCCGCGUUAAGGGAUUAAGUGCUAGAUUUAAAUCUAGAAUUAAGGUGGUACCGCGUUAAAUCGUCCUUUUA
rnacentral:ncRNA from 1 species